AGGUCAUGUUUUACUUGUGAGCUUCAAAGAGCUUGAGACUUUGGACUCUGACUUCAGGUAAUCAAUCACCAAGAAAUGCCACAGUGUCCCAUAGAUCUUCAUUGACUUAAACAUCCACUGGCUUUUCCCAUGUGCCGGGACUCACAACAGAGACAGAGCAGCUGAGUCUGUGCCAUGAGCAGGUGCGGGCCCAUUCAACUGUGUGUGUCCCUCACUUGAGGGGCACUUGGGCAGAGGUUGGCCUGCGAUCAUAACCAGGAAGAGAGGAUUCUUCUUUGGGUUGGAUGAGUAAUAAA
rnacentral:lncRNA from 1 species